rnacentral:lncRNA from 1 species
CUAUUCUGUAAAAUCCAUCACGUAUUUCUUCACCUUUACAAAGUCCAUUGAAAUAGAGGUGACUCUAAAUAAAGGGCUGUAUCUUGUUUAGCAUAGAAUCCCUUACAGCCAAUGGUUUUACAUCUCACAUAUGGUAAGCAUGUAGAUACUGGAUGGAGGGAAGGAGGGAAGGAAGGAAAGAGGCCGUGUCCCGCCCACCCUGGCAAGGCCACAGGCGUGUCCCAGUGUGGGAUGCGGGAUGCGGGGAGCCAGCCUCUGCGAGGAGAUGAGGUCCUCGGGCACAGACAGCAGUAGCCACUGGGUGGGGUUGAUACAAGCCCGGGAACAGGAGUGGGGGAAGCGACCGAGACAGGAUCCCCAGAGAAGGGGGCGGCCAGGCAAAGCACCUCCCCUCCCACCAGCAGUGCAUCGGAGCUGAGCGGUAGGGAGGGAGCCUGGCUGCUGUGGAUGAUCAAAGUCAGAUCUUUUAGCUCUAAUCUCAAAUGUUUAUGCUUAUUUUAUUUUAUUUAUUUAUUUAUUUAUUGAGACAGAGUCUCACUCUGUCGCUCAGACUGGAGUGCAGUGGCGUGAUCUCCGCCCACUGCAACCUCCGCCCUCCCAUCCCCCACCCGCCCGCCCCGGUUUAAGCAAUUCUCUGCCUGAGCGUCCAGAGUAGCAGGGAUUAUAGGCACCUGCCACCAAGCCCAGCUAAUUUUUUGUAUUUUUAGUAGAGACAGGGUUUCACCAUCUUGGCCAGGCUGGUCUUGAACUCCUGACCUCGUGAUCCACCUGCUUCGGCCUCCCAAAGUGCUGGGAUUACAGGCGUGAGUCACCGCGCCGGGCCUUAUGCUUAUUUUUUAAAAGGCCACAAAUUAGCAUUGAGAACCUGUGGACCACAGCAGGAUAGUCUUAGGGCAGAGGCUGGGAAACGCAGCCUUGUAAGGAGGUCAACAAUGGGGAGAGCAGAAACUUGUCUCUGGGGACCCACGGUACCUGGUCUGUAUUACCCAUCUCCCUUUUAUCAUUCCUUGGGCACCCUGGUUUUGAGCAAAUCAGCCUUGUUCUCAAUCUCCAUGGCAGCUGGUCUUCUUGGGGUGCCCCAGGGUUAGACCAUUGUCCUGGCUUCUGUCUCAC